rnacentral:piRNA from 1 species
UCUACUUGUCAGAUGACCCACAUGGAGACC